rnacentral:rRNA from 1 species
ACAAUGGGCGCAAGCCUGAUGCAGCCAUGCCGCGUGUAUGAAGAAGGCCUUCGGGUUGUAAAGUACUUUCAGCAGUGAGGAAGGUGGGUAUGUUAAUAGCAUAUUCAUUUGACGUUUAGCUGCAGAAGAAGCACCGGCUAACUCCGUGCCAGCAGCCGCGGUAAUACGGAGGGUGCGAGCGUUAAUCGGAAUUACUGGGCGUAAAGCGCAUGCAGGUGGUUUGUUAAGUCAGAUGUGAAAGCCCGGGGCUCAACCUCGGAAUUGCAUUUGAAACUGGCAAACUAGAGUACUGUAGAGGGGGUAGAAUUUCAGGUGUAGCGGUGAAAUGCGUAGAGAUCUGAAGGAAUACCGGUGGCGAAGGCGGCCCCCUGGACAGAUACUGACACUCAGAUGCGAAAGCGUGGGGAGCAAACAGGAUUAGAUACCCUGGUAG